GAUGAACGCUGGCGGCGUGCCUAAUACAUGCAAGUCGAGCGAACAGACGAGGAGCUUGCUCCUCUGACGUUAGCGGCGGACGGGUGAGUAACACGUGGAUAACCUACCUAUAAGACUGGGAUAACUUCGGGAAACCGGAGCUAAUACCGGAUAAUAUAUUGAACCGCAUGGUUCAAUAGUGAAAGACGGUUUUGCUGUCACUUAUAGAUGGAUCCGCGCCGCAUUAGCUAGUUGGUAAGGUAACGGCUUACCAAGGCAACGAUGCGUAGCCGACCUGAGAGGGGGAUAGGCAACCCUGGAAUUGAGCCACGGUCCAGCCUCCUAGGGGAGCCAGCAGUAGGGAAUCUUCCGCAAUGGGCGAAAGCCUAACGGAGCAACGCCGCGUGAGUGAUGAAGGUCUUCGGAUCGUAAAACUCUGUUAUUAGGGAAAAACAAAUGUGUAAGUAACUAUGCACGUCUUGACGGUACCUAAUCAGAAAGCCACGGCUAACUACGUG
rnacentral:rRNA from 1 species